UACGGAGGGUGCGAACGUUAAUCGGAAUCACUGGGCGUAAAGCGCGCGUAGGCGGUCUGUUAAGUGGGAUGUGAAAUCCCCGGGCUUAACCUGGGAAUUGCAUUUCAAACUGGCCGACUAGAGUACGGUAGAGGGAGGUAGAAUUUCCUGUGUAGCGGUGAAGUGCGUAGAUAUAGGAAGGAAUACCAGUGGCGAAGGCGGCUCUCUGGGACGGUAUUGACGCUGA
rnacentral:rRNA from 1 species